AUGCUUGUUAGUGAAAUACAAUAGAUGAUGUAGAAGGGAUAAAAUUGCAUAUAAAUCAAUUAUAGGAAUCUAUAAAAUAAAACUCUAGUUUUAUGAAAUUCAACAAAAUAUGCUGAUCAAUUCUUAUGUUUUUGACUCACAACAUGCUUUACUAAGUUGGUAGUUCCUAUUUAAUGGUAUCCUUUAUCCUCUGACAGAAACAGCAGUUUGGUUAUUUGGCUGAUAUUGGAUAGAUUUAACAAUAUAGAAAACUUAAGAAAUAUUUAUGUUAACUGUACAAAACUAUAUUUAUAUCUUAAUGAAAUCAUUGAGGAUUAUAUCUUUAUGUAUUCUUAACAAUAAAAAUAUCCAGUCAGUCCUUUUUUUAAAGAAGAAAAAUAAAUUUUCUAUUGUUUUAGCAGAAUUCUAACUGAGGAAUGAGUUCUAUUCACUCUUUGAAACUUGCAGAGUUUGCUGAAAAUGUUAAAAGUAGUUCACCGUAAUGACUGAAAGAAAGUGAAUACUUUUUGUAGCCACCUGUUAAACGUGGCAAGUGAAAGUUCACAGUUAAUGGAAACGUGGUGAUUUUUUUUAAGUUUCAAAUUUGCUGGGAAUAUUUUAUAUGCGUAUAUAUAAUUUUUAUAAUAAUUACACUCCUGUGCUUGGGAACCCUUUAUAUCCAAAUUAGUUGACUGUCAACCAUAGAUCAUUAUUACUAGGUUUAAUGUUUAUAACUAUAAAUUGUCAGUUAAGUAGUGUUCAUAAUAUAUCUUUAAGAAGAAAGAUCUGGUACUUUUAUGUUGAUGAAAGUUUUUAUUUUGUGCAAAAAGAAUGUGUAUAUAUAUAUAUUUACGAUUUUGUCAUGGUAACAAUGUAUUUUACCUCUUUUCUAGAGAUAUAAUGUUGUUAGUUUUAACAUGCACAUCACAUACACUUUUUUUUUUUUCUUUCAUGUAUCACUAUCACAUUUGUCACCAUACUACUAGUUACAUAUGUUGUUAACAGUGGUCUAAACAGGUUCACCAUACUACUAGUUGUGUAUGUUGUUAACAGUGGUCUAAACAGAUCCACCAUGCUAAUAGUUAUGUACGUUGUUAACAGUGGUCUGAACAGGUUCACCAUACUACUAGUUAUGUAUGUUGUUAACAGUGGUCGUAACAGGUUCACCAUACUACUAGUUAUGUAUGUUGUUAACAGUGGUCUAAACAGGUUCACCAUACUACUAGUUAUGUAUGUUGUUAACAGUGGUCUAAACAGGUUCACCAUACUACUAGUUAUAUAUAUGUUGUUAACAAUGGUCUAAACAGGUUCAUCAUACUACUAGUUAUAUGUAUGUUGUUAACAGUGUUCUAAACAGGUUCACCAUACUACUAGUUAUAUGUAUGUUGUUAACAGUGGUCUAAACAGAUCCACCAUACUACUAGUUAUAUGUAUGUUGUUAACAGUGUUCUAAACAGGUUCACCAUACUACUAGUUGUAUGUAUGUUGUUAACAGUGUUCUAUCAAAACUUCUGAACUGAUGAAACUAAAUAAUGGUGAUUUGAUGUCCAAUUCCCAGGUGCACCACAUAUCCUCCCACAGGUCCAUUAGAAGGUUUGAACUGAUAAAACUAAAUAAUGGUGAUUUGAUGUCCAACGUACAGGUGAGCUACAUAUCCUCCAUAACAUUAUGGUAAUCGAGACGACAACCUUUACUAUUGUGUGCUCAGAAGAGUGUGUGUUAAAAACAAAUCUGUCGUAAUUCACCUCCCAGAGGUCCAUUAGAAGGUUGAACUGAUAAAACUAAAUAAUGGUGAUUUGAUGUCCAAUGUCCAAGUGCACCACAGAUCCAUCAGAAGGUUUGAACUGAUGAAACUAAAUAAUGGUGAUUUGAUGUCCAAUGUCCAGGUGCACCACAGAUCCAUUAGAAGGUUUGAACUGAUGAAACUAAAUAAUGGUGAUUUGAUGUCCAAUGUCCAGGUGCACCACAGAUCCAUUAGAAGGUUUGAACUGAUGAAACUAAAUAAUGGUGAUUUGAUGUCCAAUGUCCAGGUGCACCACAGAUCCAUUAGAAGGUUUGAACUGAUGAAACUAUGUAAGGGAGAUUUGAUGUCCAAUGUCCAGGUGCACCACAGGUCCAUCAGAAGGUUUGAACUGACGAAACUAUGUAAGGGAGAUUUGAUGUUCAAUGCUCAUGUGCAACACAGAUCUUCCAAUGGUUUGAACUGAUGAAACUAAAUAAUGGUGAUUUGAUGUUCCAUGCCCAUGUGCAACACAAAUCUUCCAAUGGUUUGAACUGAUGAAACUAGAUAAUGGUGAUUUAAAGUCUUCUACCUAGAUCCAUGAAAUUUUGAAUGUGGUGAGACUAAGAGAGACUCACAGCAAGAGUCAUUGCAAAGUAAUUUUUUGUCUUUACAUGUAGGAAUUUCACCAUAUAGUACAGUAUUUACUAUCCAGUAUGUAUAAAUACAGGAAGCUGUUAGCAUUGUUUUUUACUACUGGUCAUAUAUAUUGGGGUUCUUAUUCUUUAUAUCAUCAGAGGGACUUGGUUAUUCUUACUAGCUGGAAGUAACUCCUGUAAUAUAAGGAAGCUGAUCAUUAUAAAGGAGGUACGAUGCACAGUAAGCAGGUUAUUCAUUGUCUCACAUAGAGUAUAUGUGUUAGUAUUUUAAAAUACCUAUAGGAAAUGUCAAAAAGUGAGGAAUUUCUUUAAUCCUGUGGCUAGUAAGCAACAUUACACACAUUGAAAAAGCAAGUGUUACAAGCUUUGUUAUUUGCACAAGUGGACAAACAUGUUAAAAUGAAUUAAGAUUUAAAAGUUGUUUUUCUCAGGUCAGAGAUAAUUUGUGAAUUUAAUUAUUUUGAAGUGCUAAAAGACUUCUAUGUCAAUGCUUUUUACUUAGGAAGUCACUAUAUCAGCUGGGCCCAGCAGGCUGUUGUAACUCCAACAGGAACAAGGUACUUAUGUCCAGUGUGCAACAAGACAUUCAGUUCUGGAACUUCCCUCAGUGUCCAUCAUCUUCGUCAACAUCGAACUAUAGCAAGCCAUAAGUGUGAAAACUGUGGCCAAGAAUUCAGGAAAAAAAAUGACUUAAAAUUUCAUUACUCAUUCUGUAAGAAUAGAAAGUAAAGUUGUAGUUCAUUCCCUCUGGAUAUGUUUACGUGUCCUCCAAGAUCUGAGCCACAAAGUUAGAUAUGUAUGAAAGGUAACACUUUUAAGAAAACUUCUCAUUACAAAGAUUCCUUUUUUCAGUGAAAGAAGUGAGUGCAAUAGCAAAUAUGGCAGAAUGAUUUCAGUUAUUUAAAAAGUGUCUCAUAAUUGUUUAAAACUAAAUACAUCAGUAUGCAAAAAGAAAUUUUGUUCUAGGAAUAAAAAUUCAAUGAUAGCAAUAUUAGAAACCCCAACCUACCCAUAUAUACCUUGAUUACAGUCUGGAUAUGACACUCCACUAAUGCUUCAGAGAUUUUUAUAAUUCUAUGGAGGCUAUGCAUGAUGGGUCAAUGACUUUAUUUGGUUUUUGCCAGUUAAGGCCUACCAUUGUUGUAGACAAAUGUGAAACAUGAUUUGUCUGACCACAUUUGUAGUAAACAAUGAUCCAAUCCCAAUAAUCUAGGCAGCAGAUCUUUCAGUUGUUGUCAAAAGUAAAUAGUUUAGAUAAAUUGUAGCUUUUUCUGGUGGGAAUGGAUGCUUCUGGACCAUUAAAAUUAUCCAUCCAUCAAUUCUCAUACAUCCAUUAGCCCAAACAAUCCUUGAUAUUUGCCUUUCUCUUUUGACCACAGUUAUUAAACAGUCUUAUGAUCUGAUAAUUAUGCAUUAUAGAUUCAGUAUCAACUUGUGGUGAUUUAUUUCUUUAACAUUGUAUGAAUAGUGUGGACCAGUCAAUUCUUCAGGUAAGGGUUAAUAACAUUUUAGAAGUAUCCCUAUUAACAUUAGUUAUACUACAGAGGUGAAGUGUGUUACAGCAAAACGAUUUGGGAACCUUGCCCUCACCUGUGUAUUUUGACAACAGCCUUGUAGUGUAGUUUCCAUUGCAAAAAAGCUCCCAUCAUAAAACUCAUUUUUAAAGUACACUGCUCCUGCAUAAUAUAUGACGAGGAUAGUUUCCUCAUAGUUUCAACAGUCUGAUCACACAGAUAUUCAUCGGCAAAGCCAUAUGUCUUUGUAUGGGUAAAAAGAAUAUCUAUUUAAUUCUCCAGCUGCUUGAGGUAGGAAACAGCUGUAACUUUUGUUGAUUAUGUUCCAUACAAUCACAUGUCGACGGCUUUUGUCACUGACCUCUGUAUUUGUGGAUUGUCUGGUGUUACAAGAUGCUGCACUAUGCUUACCAUGACUCAGGUACAACUUGUUGCAGGUCCUUUUUCUGCAUGGUCCUGAUUAUCCAGGUUCCUUUGUUUUACACUGCCAUUAAAUGAAAGAAGUAUUCCAUCGUGAAAAUUCAAAAUUCUCGAUCUGAACACACCUUUAUGAUCCGAGUAUUUUUGCGUCAUAAAGAGCUGUUACAUGCCUAUCUGAAAAGCAAUCAACUUUUGGUGGCAUCAUAUAACUAAAAAUCAACUUUGUUAUCCAUAUACAUUUCUACUUGUAGAUUAGAUUGUAUUGUUUCAUCAGUUGUAAUAUAACUUACUCAGCCAUCUGUAAUAUAAUGUUUUAUUUAUUUGGGGUUUUGUAAGAUAAUGUGACAGUUUUCCCUACAUAGUUGUGUGAGAAAAUUGCUGUGAUUUGUCAUUCCUGUAUGAAACUUAUUUGAAAACAUUUUUGUAUGUGUUGGAACAUAAUAAUCUUGUAUUGUAAUAUGAGAAUUACAUCUGUAAUGUGGAACAAGUUUUCUAAUGAUUCCAAAACUUUACUUACGAUGACAAUGUGUAAUAAUAGUGAAAUAAAAUUCAUUAUUUUUGUAUCAA